rnacentral:tRNA from 1 species
GCCCGAGUGGCGGAAUGGCAGACGCAGCGGACUCAAAAUCCGCAGCCGGCAACGGCGUGUGGGUUCGACUCCCACCUCGGGCA